rnacentral:rRNA from 1 species
AUGUCUAAACGACUCUCGGCAACGGAUAUCUCGGCUCUCGCAUCGCAUGAAGAACGUAGCGAAAUGCGAUACUUGGUGUGAAUUGCAGAAUCCCGUGAACCAUCGAGUCUUUGAACGCAAGUUGCGCCCGAAGCCAUUAGGCCGAGGGCACGCCUGCCUGGGCGUCACACCGUCGUUGCCCCCCCAACCCCUUAGGGGGCUUGGACGGGACGGAUGA